GAUGAACGCUGGCGGCGUGCCUAAUACAUGUAAGUCGAGCGAACAGAUGAGGAGCUGGCUCCUCUGACGUUAGCGGCGGACGGGUGAGUAACACGUGGAUAACCUACCUAUAAGACUGGGAUAACUUCGGGAAACCGGAGCUAAUACCGGAUAAUAUAUUGAACCGCAUGGUUCAAUAGUGAAAGACGGUUUUGCUGUCACCUAUAGAUGGAUCCGCGCCGCAUUAGCUAGUUGGUAAGGUAACGGCUUACCAAGGCAACGAUGCGGAGCCGACCUGAGAGCGUGUUCCGCCACACUGGGACUGAGACACGGUCCAGACUCCUACGGGAGGCAGCAGUAGGGAAUCUUCCGCAAUGGGCGAAAGCCUGACGGAGCAACGCCGCGUGAGUGAUGAAGGUCUUCGGAUCGUAAAACUCUGUUAUUAUGGAAGAACAAAUGUGUAAGUAACUAUGCACGUCUUGACGGUACCUAAUCAGAAAGCCACGGCUAACUACGUG
rnacentral:rRNA from 1 species